CUUCGGGAAACCGGAGCUAAUACCGGAUAAUAUUUUGAACCGCAUGGUUCAAAAGUGAAAGACGGUCUUGCUGUCACUUAUAGAUGGAUCCGCGCUGCAUUAGCUAGUUGGUAAGGUAACGGCUUACCAAGGCAACGAUGCAUAGCCGACCUGAGAGGGUGAUCGGCCACACUGGAACUGAGACACGGUCAAG
rnacentral:rRNA from 1 species